ACAGCUGGUUAGCUCACUAGCUUGAUGGUUACUGCAAGUGGCUUUAAUCGUUUCAUAAUCAAGUAGCUAGAUUGUCUAGUUUGCUCUUGUAUGCUAACAGGCUGUGUCAAAAGGCAUACACGUUCUGUGUUAAAUUUAGUGUUGGUCACCUUCAACUGUGGAAAGAUGGCUAUAGCUAGCUAGAUAACUAGUGCCUUUGUUUAUGACUUAGUUAUUUCCAAUGGCUUUUCUGUCUUGGUUGCAAUACUAUACAUGUUACAUGGCUUUAGGGAAUAUGGUUGUGCCUAUGGCCUGGUAACAGCAAAAAUCACUGUGUUUUACAAUUCAUUGAUACUCAAAACAAGGUUUUUCCUGAUGGUUAUGUAACAUGUAACUCUUCCCUACUGUUGGUUUUAGGUGUUGUGCAGAACGUUCUUUGUUAACAUUAAGUGUCUGUUACAUUCAUGAACUAGGUAAAGCUGGCUGUAGCUAGCUAGGUAACGGUUAUGCCUUUAGUUGUGAAGCCAAGUACUUUACAAUGGCUUUUCUGUUGGUUUACUGUCUUGGUUGUAAUAGUACCCAUUUUAUAUGGUUUUAGGGAACAUGGCCAUGGGUAUGGCCUAGCAACUAAACACCCAGCAAAAAGCUGCCUGUUAUAGAAUUCAGUGAAACAAGUUUUUUCCCUGACAGUCAUAUGACCUCUCUUCCCUACCUGUACUGCCAUGUUUGAAAUCCCAGGUUAGUUGGUCUGACUCACCUGUUACUGUACAGUACAUCAUCUCCAACGCAUUGUUCUAAAAGAUGGUGUGGCAUCCAAUUAUGCAUCUAUUAGGCUUCCUCACAUCUCUGGGGUUGAAGGACAGAACCCUGGGCAAACACUUUCAUAUACGUCCCUCUACAAGUCAGGAGGAUCAUCAACACACAAGCUAACUUCCUGGACAUAUGUUUGAGUCAUUGGCCCUUUGGAUGGUGAACAACAACUUAGCAGAGGUUUCUUCUCAGUGAUAAUGAACCAGGGAAGCUCU
ensembl:lncRNA